CUUUCAAAAAGAAAAAGAAAAGAAUAUGUUCACUAUAAAUUGCUUAUGCUCCGUGAUUGGAGGAGGCCUUUGACAUUUUGCAAAACUUAAUUGGCACCUAUGUUCUGAAUUUUUGUUUCCAGAAUUAAAAUAUGAAAUUGACACUAUAUACUGAUUUAUAUGAUUACCGUCUAUCACCCUCUCAAACUUAUUUUCUUCUACAAGACUUUUUGACCGG
rnacentral:lncRNA from 1 species